rnacentral:lncRNA from 1 species
AUAGAGAUCAUCAAGAACAAGGAUCAUGGAAGCACAGAAGUGCAGACUAUCAGGAUUCAGACUGUUUACCUUACCCAGUAUCAACUGGAGCACGACCUAAACCUUAUAUGCUGUUUCAGAAGCUGUCUAAGGAGAAAGCAGGAUUAGGUCAGUCUUUGUAGCAAUGGAGCCUGCUCCUCGUUAGAGAUGUUGGAGAAAACCUUGAGUUUCAUCAGCUGUGUACUAAAAGGUAAUUCCUACCUGUACAAAGUAGAGUAAGGUGCUACUGUGACUUUUAAGUUUUGUAUACUACCCACUUUGCAUUUACCCUGCUCAGCUAUAAAAGAUGAGCUAUAGGGCAGGGAGGAGGAGGGAGGAGAAUAAUCCAAAUCUGUGUAAGUCCUAAAGGAGAAUAAUGUUUUCCAGAUGAAAUUGUAUUCUUUAUGACUUGACUGACAGCAAUGAGCUCCUUUAUAUCCCUGCAAAACCAUCUAGC